rfam:Niastella vici strain DJ57 contig54, whole genome shotgun sequence.
GCGUGGGUGACCACGAAUUCUGAAGGAAGCUGGCGGCAAACAUUCGAGUUCACGAACAGGAACGGCAUAUAAAGCAAGGCAUGGUGGGUGAUUUGAAGAUUGGCGCCUUUU